rnacentral:rRNA from 1 species
CUUGACAUCCACAGACUUUCCAGAGAUGGAUUGGUGCUUCGGGAACUGUGAGACAGGUGCUGCAUGGCUGUCGUCAGCUUCNGUGUUNNGUGAAAUGUUGGGUAAUCCCGCAACGAGCGCAACCCUUAUUCCCUUUGUUGCCAGCGGUCCGGCCGGGGGGGGAACUCAAAGGAGACUGCCAGUGAUAAACUGGGGAANNGGGAAGGUGGGGAUGACGUCAAGUCAUCAUGGCCCUUACGACCAGGGCUACAAANCCAAACACCCGUGGGCUACAAUGGCGGGCAAUACAAAGAGAAGCGACCUCGCGAGAGCAAGCGGACCUCAUAAAGUGCGUCGUAGUCCGGAUUGGAGUCUGCAACUCGACUCCAUGAAGUCGGAAUCGCUAGUAAUCGUGGAUCAGAAUGCCACGGUGAAUACGUUCCCGGGCCUUGUACACACCGCCCGUCACACCAUGGGAGUGGGUUGCAAAAGAAGUAGGUAGCUUAACCUUCGGGAGGGCGCUUACCACUUUGUGAUUCAUGACUGGGGGAAGUCGUAACAAGUAAC